rnacentral:lncRNA from 1 species
UUUUAGGUGCGUUUCGGAUAAUUGCCGUUCUAACGGCAAUUAGGCGCACUUAAACCAGCUUAAGUUGGGCGGUUCCGCCACAGCUGUCCUCGGUCGGCGAGGAUCGUGGUGUUUGAUAUCAUGGCAGGCUUCACCAUGGUAUUGGUAUCGACGUUAGACUUAUCGUUUAUUUCUGUUGCUUUUGAACUCUGAAUACUUCUUUAUGCAUUUAAAUUCUUGAGUUGUAAUAACUUGAUCUGGGACCUGUAAUAAUU